GCCCGGAUAGCUCAGUUGGUAGAGCAUGCGAUUGAAAAUCGCAGUGUCGGCGGUUCGAAUCCGUCUCCGGGCACCA
rnacentral:tRNA from 1 species